rnacentral:rRNA from 1 species
AUUGAACGCUAGCGGGAUGCUUUACACAUGCAAGUCGAACGAGUGGCGGACGGGUGAGUAAUAUAUCGGAACGUGCCCAAUAGCGGGGGAUAACUACUCGAAACAGUGGCUAAUACCGCAUACUAUUAGAGCGGCCGAGAUGGGAUUAGCUAGUUGGUGGGGUAAAGGCUCACCAAGGCGACGAUCCGUAGCUGGUUUGAGAGGACGACCAGCCACACGGGGACUGAGACACGGCCCAGACUCCUACGGGAGGCAGCAGUGGGGAAUUUUGCACAAUGGGGGAAACCCUGAUCCAGCCAUGCCGCGUGUAUGAGAAGGCCUUCGGGUUGUAAAGUACUUUUGGCAAAGAAGCGGGAUCUGCAGAAUAAGCACCGGCUAACUACGUGCCAGCAGCCGCGGUAAUUC